AUUGAACGCUGGCGGCAGGCCUAACACAUGCAAGUCGAACGGUAACAGGAAGCAGCUUGCUGCUUCGCUGACGAGUGGCGGACGGGUGAGUAAUGUCUGGGAAGCUGCCUGAUGGAGGGGGAUAACUACUGGAAACGGUAGCUAAUACCGCAUAAUGUCGCAAGACCAAAGAGGGGGACCUUCGGGCCUCUUGCCAUCGGAUGUGCCCAGAUGGGAUUAGCUUGUUGGUGGGGUAACGGCUCACCAAGGCGACGAUCCCUAGCUGGUCUGAGAGGAUGACCAGCCACACUGGAACUGAGACACGGUCCAGACUCCUACGGGAGGAAGCAGUGGGGAAUAUUGCACAAUGGGCGCAAGCCUGAUGCAGCCAUGCCGCGUGUAUGAAGAAGGCCUUCGGGUUGUAAAGUACUUUCAGCGGGGAGGAAGGGAGUAAAGUUAAUACCUUUGCUCAUUGACGUUACCCGCAGAAGAAGCACCGGCUAACUCCGUG
rnacentral:rRNA from 1 species